rnacentral:rRNA from 1 species
CGUAGGGGGCAAGCGUUGUCCGGAUUUAUUGGGCGUAAAGAGCGUGUAGGCGGCCAGACAGGUCCGUUGUGAAAACUCGAGGCUCAACCUCGAGACGUCGACGGAAACCGUCUGGCUAGAGUCCGGAAGAGGAGUGUGGAAUUCCUGGUGUAGCGGUGAAAUGCGCAGAUAUCAGGAAGAACACCUAUGGCGAAGGCAGCACUCUGGGACGGUACUGACGCUGAGACGCGAAAGCGUGGGGAGCGAACAGGAUUAGAUACCCUGGUAGUCCACGCCGUAGACGAUGGAUGCUAGGUGUGGGCGGUGUCGACUCCGUCCGUGCCGAAGCUAACGCAUUAAGCAUCCCGCCUGGGGAGUACGGCCGCAAGGCUA